UCGAGCACGCGCGUGUGGCAUAUCAAUAAGCGGAGGAAAAGAAACUAACUAGGAUUCCCUUAGUAACGGCGAGUGAAGCGGGAAGAGCUCAAAUCUGAAAUCUUCAAGGUUCUACCUUGACGAAUUGUAGUUUAUAAGAAGUGUUUUCUGUUAGUGGAGUGGCAAAAGUUCUUUGGAAUAGGACAUCAUAGAGGGUGAGAAUCCCGUAUUUGGUCAUUUCUCCUAGCGUUGUGAUACACUUUCAACGAGUCGGAUUGUUUGGGAAUGCAGUCCAAAAUGGGUGGUAAAUUUCAUCUAAAGCUAAAUAUUGGCGAGAGACCGAUAGCGAACAAGUACCGUGAGGGAAAGAUGAAAAGAACUUUGAAAAGAGAGUUAAACAGUACGUGAAAUUGUCAAAAGGGAAGCGUUUGACACCAGUGUUGUUUUCCGAAAAUCAAUUACGAAUGUUUUGUUUUUAAGGAGUUAUGACUUCAUCGGCUUGCUUCUUUCUUUACGAAACUUUCUUAAUGCACUUUUCGGUUAACAAGUCAACAUCAAUUUCUUUUGUUGUAAAAGGGUAUGAGGAAGGUGGCUUUCUUUUCGGAGAAAGUGUUUAUAGCCUUGUGCCUCUGCAAUCGGAGAGAUUGAGGUCUGCAGCGUAGAUCCUUCGGGGUUAGAUACGUUUGUGCUAAGUUAUAGCUUUUCAUAGACAACUUGUUGACUAUGUUUAGUCUUGUAGCUUACUCGCUGACGCUAUUUUACCUACGCUUAGGAUGUUGAACUCUAUCACACACAG
rnacentral:rRNA from 1 species